AGAGCAGUAAGGCACCAUGGCUGCUUUCAGAUGGAGUCAAAUGGUUUUACUUCUGAUCCUCAUGCUUCAGUUUAUAGCACAAACUGAGAUGCAAAAAACCUUCCUUACUGUCAGAGGAGGAGAUAACGUCACUUUGCCUUGUGGAAACAGACGAGACACAUAUGAUAAAUCUGAUGAAACUGCUUGGUUCCUCAAUGAUAGACAUUCAUCUGAAAUCAAAACACUGGUGAAAUUUGGAAAUUCCACAGAGAAAUGAAAACUAUAUCAGACAGACUGAGUGUUACAGCAAAACGGUUCUCUGCUUCUACAUAAUGUCAAAGAGAAGGAUGUUGGCCGGUACACAUGCCGUUGGAUCACAUCAGGAACACAACAUGACUUUGUUGUGUAUCUGUCUCUAAUUAGUAUCUUUGAGCAGCAGAACUCAGAAAAAGUCACCUUGUUCUGCUCUGUGCUCCAAUAUGAUGACUGUCUACAUGAGGUGAAGUGGCUUUAUGAGGGGAAAGAGGAAAAACACUCAGAUAUGGAAAUAUCUCACAUUCCUGCUCUGCCACUGUGACAUAUCCAACAUCUCAUCAGAAAUUAGACAUUUGCCCGUCACUAACAUGUAAAGUCACAAACUCAGACACUAAAGCAGUUCAGCUGUUCCCCUGCAGUCUUCAGUCU